rnacentral:rRNA from 1 species
CAAUAGCGUAUAUUAAAGUUGUUGCAGUUAAAAAGCUCGUAGUUGGAUCUGUGGUGUGCGGUGGGCUCCGGGCACUUGUUGUCUGAGUAGCUCGCCGCUGCCAUCCUUGGGUGGAACCUGUGUGGCAUUAGGUUGUCGUGCAGGGGAUGCCCAUCGUUUACUGUGAAAAAAUUAGAGUGUUCAAAGCAGGCUUAUGCCGUUGAAUAUAUUAGCAUGGAAUAAUGAGAUAGGACUUUUUCGCUAUUUUGUUGGUUUGCGCGAAGAGGUAAUGAUUAAUAGGGACAGUUGGGGGUAUUCGUAUUCCAUUGUCAGAGGUGAAAUUCUUGGAUUUUUGGGAGACGAACUACUGCGAAAGCAUUUACCAAGGAUGUUUUCAUUAA